AGAUUGGUGAGGAAGACCUGCUCCUGAGGCAACUGGCCUGCCUCCCGGCUUCUUUCUCCAAGGUAAUGAAAAAGCCAAGCUGGGAAGGCAGGCUGGUGACAAGUAUGGUCCCUGCGCAUUCCUCGGGCUGACGGCCAUUUCAAUUUAAGAAAACAAAAGAUGAUCCUGUGAACACUGUAUCAGGCAUCAUUACUGGACUGAAAAAAGGAUCACUUGAUGGACAUGCCUGGCGUUUUGUUUAGAAGUAUUUCUUCUCUGGCCUUAGAAGAUUAGUUUUCAAAGCGAUGGUAAAAUCAUUGAUGUAUGUCUUUUCAAGAAAAAGAAAAAAAAAAGACUCCUAAAUGCCAAACAUUUGCUCUUUGGAGCAUAGCAAGAAGAAAGGGAGAGGACCAGACGGCCACAUCCUAAGAACAGAGUAUUGUCCAGGUGAAAUGGAGGGUCUGGUCUGUUUAUGCCUACUUACACCUGACAACAUGAUUAUCCUCUCCAACCAUCCUCUUGGCUGUUGAAAGUCAGCUGUUAUCAGGAUUCAUAUGUGAUUUCUCUUCUUUGCAACAAUCACUUGAAGCUGGUCCUGAAAUAAUUGCCAAUAAUAAAUGUAUCCAGGCAGAAGCCUUCACAUCUUGGACUAAGGGAAGUUAAGGCAAUGGCGUUUUCAUUCUCUCAUCAAGAAUGUCUCCGAGGACAGCUUUUCCUGUGCCAAGUUAGUAAGAAAUAAGCCCCAGAGAGUUCUAUGUUAUGAUUGUCAGGACGCGGAUUAUUGAGAAAGGAAUUAGAAUCAACUCUGGCAGAGGAAAUUUGAGAGGCUGAGGGGAUUCUUGGGCAAUGAGGACUUUUAUGGUGAAUGGUUUGGGUUGCAGCUUUAGCUCUUUUGCUCUGCUUCACUGUUGGAGUUAUGGACUUUAGAUUUUUAUCAAGAGUAAUUCAUGCACUACUAAAAAACUGCACAGCUGAGUUCUUCAUCUAUGAGAAAACAUUGGCAAUUAAAAAAUUUGAAGCACCUAGAUUCAGUUUAUCUUGAGCAAUCUAGGAAUACCCCCAAAGCACUGAAUUUGAAGUCAACAGACCUUGGUUCAAAUCCAUCACUGUUGCCUUGUACAUAUUGACCAGUGCUGUCCAAUAUGGCAGUCACUAGUCACAGGGUCCUUUUAAAAUUUAAAUUUAAGUUAGUUAUAAUUAAAUACAAUUACAAAUUCAAUUUUGAGGUACACCACCCAUAUUUCAAGUGCUCAGUGGCCCCCGUGUCUUGGUGCUACCAUGUGGACACCCAAGCUCUAAACUGAAGACAAAUAAGUUUUCCAAGCCCCAGUUUCCUCUUCUGUUAAACAAAGAAAGAAAAUGAAAACUGUCCUAUUUACUAAGUGCUGUAUAAGAUAAUGAAUACCAAAGCACCUAAAAAUUAUUAAAUAUUUUAUAAAAGAUGAACUGUAA
ensembl:lncRNA LINC01571 long intergenic non-protein coding RNA 1571